GACGAACGCUGGCGGCGUGCUUAACACAUGCAAGUCGAACGAAGUGGCGAACGGGUGAGUAACGAGUAAUCAACCUGCCCUUCAGAAGGGGACAACAGUUGUCAACAACUGCUAAUACCGCAUACUGAAGGAGGGGAUUGCGUCUGAUUAGCUAGGUGGCGGGGUAACGGCCCUCCAAGGCGAGGAUCAGUAGCAGGUCGGAGAGGAUGAACGGCCACAUUGGGAGUGAGACACGGCCCAGACUACGACGGGAGGCAGCAGUGGGGAAUCUUCCGCAAUGGACGAAAGUCUGACGGAGCAACGCCGCGUGAGGGAUGACGGCCUCCGGGUUGUAAAGCUCUGUUAAUCGGGUGGCGGUACCGGAAUAGAAAGCCACGGCUAACUACGUGCCAGCAGCCGCGGUAAUAC
rnacentral:rRNA from 1 species